rnacentral:rRNA from 1 species
AGAGUUUGAUCCUGGCUCAGGAUGAACGCUAGCGACGGGCUUAACACAUGCAAGUCGAGGGGCAGCGGGGGUGAUGGCUUGCCAUCACCUGCCGGCGACCGGCGCACGGGUGAGUAACACGUAUGCAACCUGCCCGCCACAGGGGGAUAAGCGGAAGAAAUUCCGUCUAAUACCGCGUGACGCGGCGUCGGGGCAUCCCGGUGCCGCCAAAGGGAUUACCGGUGGCGGAUGGGCAUGCGGCGCAUUAGCUAGUCGGCGGGGUAACGGCCCACCGAGGCGACGAUGCGUAGGGGUUCUGAGAGGAAGGUCCCCCACACUGGUACUGAGACACGGACCAGACUCCUACGGGAGGCAGCAGUGAGGAAUAUUGGUCAAUGGGCGGGAGCCUGAACCAGCCAAGUCGCGUGAGGGAUGACGGUCCUACGGAUUGUAAACCUCUUUUGCCGGGGAGCAAGCGUGCGUUCGUGAACGCGCGUCGAGAGUACCCGGAGAAAAAGCAUCGGCUAACUCCGUGCCAGCAGCCGCGGUAAUACGGAGGAUGCGAGCGUUAUCCGGAUUUAUUGGGUUUAAAGGGUGCGUAGGCGGGAUGCCAAGUCAGCGGUAAAAAUGCGGUGCUCAACGCCGUCGAGCCGUUGAAACUGGCGUUCUUGAGUGGGCGAGAAGUAUGCGGAAUGCGUGGUGUAGCGGUGAAAUGCAUAGAUAUCACGCAGAACUCCGAUUGCGAAGGCAGCAUACCGGCGCCCUACUGACGCUGAGGCACGAAAGCGUGGGUAUCGAACAGGAUUAGAUACCCUGGUAGUCCACGCAGUAAACGACGAAUGUAAACUGUCCGGUGCGAGUGAGCGCUGGGCGGUACAGCGAAAGCGUUAAGCAUUCCACCUGGGGAGUACGCCCGGCAACGGUGAAACUCAAAAGGAAUUGACGGGGGCCCGCACAAGCGGAGGAACAUGUGGUUUAAUUCGAUGAUACGCGAGGAACCUUACCCGGGCUCAAACGCAGGAUGACGGGUCCCGAAAGGGGCCUUUCUUCGGACAUUCUGCGAGGUGCUGCAUGGUUGUCGUCAGCUCGUGCCGUGAGGUGUCGGCUUAAGUGCCAUAACGAGCGCAACCCCUGUCCACAGUUGCCAGCAGGUAAAGCUGGGGACUCUGUGGAGACUGCCGGCGCAAGCUGCGAGGAAGGCGGGGAUGACGUCAAAUCAGCACGGCCCUUACGUCCGGGGCGACACACGUGUUACAAUGGCAGGUACAGCGGGAUGCCACGGGGCGACCCGGCGCUGAACCCGAAAACCUGUCUCAGUUCGGAUUGGAGUCUGCAACCCGACUCCAUGAAGCUGGAUUCGCUAGUAAUCGCGCAUCAGCCACGGCGCGGUGAAUACGUUCCCGGGCCUUGCACUCACCGCCCGUCA